GACGAACGCUGGCGGCGUGCCUAAUACAUGCAAGUAGAACGCUGAAGGAGGAGCUUGCUUCUCUGGAUGAGUUGCGAACGGGUGAGUAACGCGUAGGUAACCUGCCUGGUAGCGGGGGAUAACUAUUGGAAACGAUAGCUAAUACCGCAUAAGAGUGGAUGUUGCAUGACAUUUGCUUAAAAGGUGCACUUGCAUCACUACCAGAUGGACCUGCGUUGUAUUAGCUAGUUGGUGGGGUAACGGCUCACCAAGGCGACGAUACAUAGCCGACCUGAGAGGGUGAUCGACCACACUGGGACUGAGACACGGCCCAGACUCCUACGGGAGGCAGCAGUAGGGAAUCUUCGGCAAUGGACGGAAGUCUGACCGAGCAACGCCGCGUGAGUGAAGAAGGUUUUCGGAUCGUAAAGCUCUGUUGUAAGAGAAGAACGAGUGUGAGAGUGGAAAGUUCACACUGGAUGUUCUACCAGAAAGGACG
rnacentral:rRNA from 1 species